rnacentral:rRNA from 1 species
UAGGGAAUCUUCCACAAUGGACGCAAGUCUGAUGGAGCAACCCGCGUGAGUGAAGAAGGUCUUCGGAUCGUAAAGCUCUGUUGUUGGUGAAGAAGGAUAGAGGCAGUAACUGGUCUUUAUUUGACGGUAAUCAACCAGAAAGUCACGGCUAACUACGUGCCAGCAGCCGCGGUAAUACGUAGGUGGCAAGCGUUGUCCGGAUUUAUUGGGCGUAAAGCGAGCGCAGGCGGAAUGAUAAGUCUGAUGUGAAAGCCCACGGCUCAACCGUGGAACUGCAUCGGAAACUGUCAUUCUUGAGUGCAGAAGAGGAGAGUGGAACUCCAUGUGUAGCGGUGGAAUGCGUAGAUAUAUGGAAGAACACCAGUGGCGAAGGCGGCUCUCUGGUCUGCAACUGACGCUGAGGCUCGAAAGCAUGGGUAGCGAACAGGAUUAGAUACCCUGGUAGUCCAUGCCGUAAACGAUGAGCGCUAGGUGUUGGGGACUUUCCGGUCCUCAGUGCCGCAGCAAACGCAUUAAGCGCUCCGCCUGGGGAGUACGACCGCAAGGUUGAAAC